rnacentral:rRNA from 1 species
UACAGAGGGUGCAAGCGUUAAUCGGAUUUACUGGGCGUACAGGGCGCGUAGGCGGUUAUGUUAGUGUGAUGUGAAAGCCCCGGGCUCAACCUGGGAAGUGCAUCGCAAACGACAUAACUGGAGUAGAUGAGAGGGUGGCGGAAUUUCCAGUGUAGCGGUGAAAUGCGUAGAGAUUGGAAGGAACGCCAGUGGCGAAGGCAGCCACCUGGCAUGAUACUGACGCUGAGGCGCGAAAGCGUGGGGAGCGAACAGG